GGUGGGCUAUAGCCUUGGUGGGGGGCGUGGGCGAAGUUCGUCCGCGGGACUCGGAAUGGCCCCAGACUUGGUGGGCGGCCUCCGUGUGCCAAAAAUAGGCCACGGGCACAGCCGCGCCCAAAAAUCAGCCCCCGAAGGUCGGGGUCCCAAGACCCCCCAGCGGAAAAAUGGCCAAGAAACGCGUGGGCUAUAGCCUUGGUGGGGGGCGUGGGCGAAGUUCGUCCGCGGGACUCGGAAUGGCCCCAGACUUGGCGGGCGGCCUCCGUGUGCCAAAAAUAGGCCACGGGCACAGCCGCGCCCAAAAAUCAGCCCCCGAAGGUCGGGGUCCCAAGACACCCCAGCGGAAAAAUGGCCAAGAAACGGGUGGGCUAUAGCCUUGGUGGGGGGCGUGGGCGAAGUUCGUCCGCGGGACUCGGAAUGGCCCCAGACUUGGCGGGCGGCCUCCGUGUGCCAAAAAUAGGCCACGGGCACAGCCGCGCCCAAAAAUCAGCCCCCGAAGGUCGGGGUCCCAAGACCCCCCAGCGGAAAAAUGGCCAAGAAACGGGUGGGCUAUAGCCUUGGUGGGGGGCGUGGGUGAAGUUCGUCCGCGGGACUCGGAAUGGCCCCAAUAGGCCACGGGCACAGCCGCGCCCAAAAAUCAGCCCCCGAAGGUCGGGGUCCCAAGACCCCCCAGCGGAAAAAAGGCCAAGAAACGCGUGGGCUAUAGCCUUGGUGGGGGGCGUGGGCGAAGUUCGUCCGCGGGACUCGGAAUGGCCCCAGACUUGGCGGGCGGCCUCCGUGUGCCAAAAAUAGGCCACGGGCACAGCCGCGCCCAAAAAUCAGCCCCCGAAGGUCGGGGUCCCAAGACCCCCCAGCGGAAAAAAGGCCAAGAAACGCGUGGGCUAUAGCCUUGGUGGGGGGCGUGGGCGAAGUUCGUCCGCGGGACUCGGAAUGGCCCCAGACUUGGCGGGCGGCCUCCGUGUGCCAAAAAUAGGCCACGGGCACAGCCGCGCCCAAAAAUCAGCCCCCGAAGGUCGGGGUCCCAAGACCCCCCAGCGGAGAAAUGGCCAAGAAACGGGUGAGCUAUAGCCUUGGUGGGGGGCGUGGGCGAAGUUCGUCCGCGGGACUCGGAAUGGCCCCAGACAUGGCGGGCGGCCUCCGUGUGCCAAAAAUAGGCCACGGGCACAGCCGCGGCCAAAAAUCAGCCCCCGAAGGUCGGGGUCCCAAGACCCCCCAGCGGAAAAAAGGCCAAGAAACGCGUGGGCUAUAGCCUUGGUGGGGGGCGUGGGCGAAGUUCGUCCGCGGGACUCGGAAUGGCCCCAGACUUGGCGGGCGGCCUCCGUGUGCCAAAAAUAGGCCACGGGUACAGCCGCGCCCAAAAAUCAGCCCCCGAAGGUCGGGGUCCCAAGACCCCCCAGCGGAAAAAUGGCCAAGAAACGGGUGGGCUAUAGCCUUGGUGGGGGGCGUGGGCGAAGUUCGUCCGCGGGACUCGGAAUGGCCCCAGACUUGGCGGGCGGCCUCCGUGUGCCAAAAAUAGGCCACGGGCACAGCCGCGCCCAAAAAUCAGCCCCCGAAGGUCGGGGUCCCAAGACCCCCCAGCGGAAAAAUGGCCAAGAAACGGGUGGGCUAUAGCCUUGGUGGGGGGCGUGGGCGAAGUUCGUCCGCGGGACUCGGAAUGGCACCAUACUUGGCGGGCGGCCUCCGUGUGCCAAAAAUAGGCCACGGGCACAGCCGCGCCCAAAAAUCAGCCCCCGAAGGUCGGGGUCCCAAGACCCCCCAGCGGAAAAAUGGCCAUGAAACGCGUGGGCUAUAGCCUUGGUGGGGGGCGUGGGCGAAGUUCGUCCGCGGGACUCGGAAUGGCCCCAGACUUGGCGAGCGGCCUCCGUGUGCCAAAAAUAGGCCACGGGCACAGCCGCGCCCAAAAAUCAGCCCCCGAAGGUCGGGGUCCCAAGACCCCCCAGCGGAAAAAUGGCCAAGAAACGGGUGGGCUAUAGCCUUGGUGGGGGGCGUGGGCGAAGUUCGUCCGCGGGACUCGGAAUGGCCCCAGACUUGGCGGGCGGCCUCCGUGUGCCAAAAAUAGGCCACGGGCACAGCCGCGCCCAAAAAUCAGCCCCCGAAGGUCGGGGUCCCAAGACCCCCCAGCGGAAAAAAGGCCAAGAAACGCGUGGGCUAUAGCCUUGGUGGGGGGCGUGGGCGAAGUUCGUCCGCGGGACUCGGAAUGGCACCAUACUUGGCGGGCGGCCUCCGUGUGCCAAAAAUAGGCCACGGGCACAGCCGCGCCCAAAAAUCAGCCCCCGAAGGUCGGGGUCCCAAGACCCCCCAGUGGAAAAAUGGCCAAAAAACGGGUGGGCUAUAGCC
rnacentral:lncRNA from 1 species